CCUACGGGAGGCAGCAGUGGGGAAUUUUGGACAAUGGGCGAAAGCCUGAUCCAGCCAUUCCGCGUGAGUGAAGAAGGCCUUCGGGUUGUAAAGCUCUUUCGCAAGGGAAGAAAACUUAGCUACUAAUAUUAGCUGAGGUUGACGGUACCUUGAUAAGAAGCACCGGCUAACUACGUGCCAGCAGCCGCGGUAAUACGUAGGGUGCGAGCGUUAAUCGGAAUUACUGGGCGUAAAGCGUGCGCAGGCGGUUUUGUAAGUCAGAUGUGAAAUCCCCGAGCUCAACUUGGGAACUGCGUUUGAAACUACAAGACUAGAAUAUGUCAGAGGGGGGUAGAAUUCCACGUGUAGCAGUGAAAUGCGUAGAGAUGUGGAGGAAUACCAAUGGCGAAGGCAGCCCCCUGGGAUAAUAUUGACGCUCAUGCACGAAAAGCGUGGGGAGCAAAACAGGAUUAGAUACCCUGGUAGUCCACGCCCUAAACGAUGUCUACUAGUUGUUGGUAGAGUAAAAUCCAUGAGUAACGCAGCUAACGCGUGAAGUAGACCGCCUGGGGAGUACGGUCGCAAGAUUAAAAACNAAAAGGAUUGACGNNGAGAGNGCGAGAGACACGAGGAGAGG
rnacentral:rRNA from 1 species